rnacentral:rRNA from 1 species
CAGUGGGGAAUAUUGGACAAUGGGCGCAAGCCUGAUCCAGCCAUGCCGCGUGAGUGAUGAAGGCCUUAGGGUUGUAAAGCUCUUUUAUCCGGGACGAUAAUGACGGUACCGGAGGAAUAAGCCCCGGCUAACUUCGUGCCAGCAGCCGCGGUAAU